rnacentral:rRNA from 1 species
GCUGGCGGCGCGCUUAACACAUGCAAGUCGAGCGAGAACCAGUCCUUCGGGGCUGGGGAAAGCGGCGAACGGGUGAGUAACACGUGGGUAAUCUGCCCUCGGCACCGGAAUAGCCCGGGGAAACCCGGAUUAAUGCCGGAUGGCCUCUCUGCCCCUCGGGGCGGCGAGAAAAGGUAGCUUCGGCCUCCGGCCGAGGAUGAUCCCGCGGCCGAUUAGCUUGUUGGUGGGGUAACGGCUCACCAAGGCGACGAUCGGUAGCUGGUCUGAGAGGACGAUCAGCCACACUGGGACUGAGACACGGCCCAGACUCCUACGGGAGGCAGCAGUGGGGAAUCUUGCGCAAUGGGCGAAAGCCUGACGCAGCGACGCCGCGUGCGGGAAGAAGGCCUUCGGGUUGUAAACCGCUUUCAGGAGGGACGAAGCCACUCGGGUUAAUAGCCUAGAGGGUGACGGUACCUCCAGAAGAAGCCCCGGCUAACUACGUGCCAGCAGCCGCGGUAAUACGUAGGGGGCUGGCGUUGUCCGGAUUUAUUGGGCGUAAAGAGCGUGUAGGCGGCCAGGUAGGUCUGGUGUGAAAACUCGAGGCUUAACCUUGAGAUGUCAUCGGAAACCAUUUGGCUAGAGUCCCGGAAGAGGAAAGUGGAAUUCC